rnacentral:rRNA from 1 species
GAUGAACGCUGGCGGCGUGCUUAACACAUGCAAGUCGAACGAAGCACUUUAUUUGAUUUCCUUCGGGACUGAUUAUUUUGUGACUGAGUGGCGGACGGGUGAGUAACGCGUGGGUAACCUGCCUUGUACAGGGGGAUAACAGUUGGAAACGGCUGCUAAUACCGCAUAAGCGCACGGCAUCGCAUGAUGCAGUGUGAAAAACUCCGGUGGUAUAAGAUGGACCCGCGUUGGAUUAGCUAGUUGGUGAGGUAACGGCCCACCAAGGCGACGAUCCAUAGCCGACCUGAGAGGGUGACCGGCCACAUUGGGACUGAGACACGGCCCAAACUCCUACGGGAGGCAGCAGUGGGGAAUAUUGCACAAUGGGCGAAGGCCUGAUGCAGCGACGCCGCGUGAGCGAAGAAGUAUUUCGGUAUGUAAAGCUCUAUCAGCAGGGAAGAUAAUGACGGUACCUGACUAAGAAGCACCGGCUAAAUACGUG